ensembl:lincRNA
AUGCCAGCCAGCCUAGAAGGCAACCAGAGGUCGACACUGAGCUUUGCUGCUUCAGCGAUGGGAGCUGUGCUGAGCGCGGGACCCCACCUGCAUUUCUCCAGGCAUGGGAGAGGAGAAAAUCUACCAAAGGUCAGACUCUUCCCAAGAAGCCAACCCAUCCCAGGCCUGAACUUUAUGGACGCAUCCUCCCCACAUCCCCAGUUUUGGGAUGCAAGGCACACUGGAAAAUCUCCAGAGAGCUGCCAGCCUCCACAGCUCGCCCAGCCCAGAGGCCGCAGGGUCUCCGAGACUGAAAUUGAUCUCUGUUGCUUUGGAUGAUGGUAUUCACUCCAAAUAAGCUACCGAGAGAAUCUUUCCAGAGGGAACAGAGAAAGAAAGAGAAGGAGAGAGCCAGCCUGGACAGCUGGACAGGCAAAAUUUAGUUCUGUCUUGCUAUAAAUAAGUGUGCAGCUUUAUCCAGAGCUCCAUGACUGAGAUCCACUACUGCUUCCCAUGGUGGGAAAAAGACAAGGUUGGGGGUUAUUUCUGGAUUCUCAGUGGGAUUUAGAUAGCUCACAGGAUGUGCAGUACAGACUGGACUCAUAAAAUACUAACAUAAAGCCUGCAGUCUGGAAUUAAGCACCAUUACCGGCUUCUCUACUUGCUAUGUCACCUUGGGAAAAUGACUUGUCUGUCUCAGUUUUCACAUCUGUAAAAUGGGAAUAUUAAUCAUGACCUCACCUAUUGAGAAGGUCAAAUGAGUUGAUGAAAGUGAAGUGCUUAGAACCAUGGCUAGCAUUGGUUUAUGAAUAGUUCCUGAGCACAACAUGGCCAUACAUUACAGCAUUCAGUCCUUCUGACUGUCUUUGAUAUAGAUAUUAUCCACUCGUAACUCACUGAGGAAGAGGACCUAGAGAAGGAUGGAGUCUUGAACAACUGGAUCUCAGCUGGUGAGUGGUAGAUCAAGGGUUCACGGCUCAGUUUCCUGGAUGGCAAGCCCCAGCUCUUUGCACUUGAUCUUACCAGGUUAAGCAGGACCUGCUGUACAGGUGAGAUGAGCUUUGAUCAAGGCCAGGGUGGACAAGGCUCACCCUGCCCGCAGCUCUAAGGGGACUGUAAGGGGGUUACCCAGCUUCUGCAAGUGAGCACCUUCAGGCACAUCACGGCUACGGGAAGUGACUCACUCACUCCGCGUCCUUGUCUCUGGCCAUGUUUGCUGGCAGCUCUGAGCCUGUGUGAACAUGAAGUAGGUCAGGCCACCAGCCAGCCCUGCAGCUAGCACCGCACCAUCAGUGAAAGUGUGGGGCAACGACCAGCUUGGGAAAACUUCACCGACAAACGGGCUGUGCCACUCUGGUUAGCAUGGGCAUCGCUGCCCGUGUCACUCAUGGAAGUUCUAGAGCAGAGACCUAGGAAAAUAUCGAGACUGCGGGACUUUAAAGAGAAGGCAUCCUGGUGCAUUCUAAGAGUCCUGGAUAAAAAUACAGUCCCACCCCCAGAAAAUUACACUCACCUCUGUGUUCCAUAAUUGCCCCAAACACAUCUAUCCCCUUCCUGCUUCCACGCAAAUAAACCUUUGAAGAUUUCUUUGCGAUCAUCCCACCUUAACGGGGCCCAGAGUCUGUUGUGGGAA